rnacentral:rRNA from 1 species
UACGUAGGUGGCAAGCGUUACUCGGAAUCACUAGGCGUAAAGCGCAGGUAGGAGGUUUGGUAAGUCUGUUGUGAAAGCUCCCGGCUUAACUGGGAGAGGUCAACGGAAACUACUAGGCUAGAGUGCGGUAGAGGUAGCUGGAAUUCCCGGUGUAGCGGUGAAAUGCGUAGAUAUCGGGAGGAAUACCUAUGGCGAAGGCGGCAUCCUGGACCGGCAUUGACGCUGAGGAGCGAAAGCCAGGGGAGCAAACGGG